GUCGAACGGUGAAGCCCAGCUUGCUGGGUGGAUCAGUGGCGAACGGGUGAGUAACACGUGAGCAACCUGCCCCUGACUCUGGGAUAAGCGCUGGAAACGGCGUCUAAUACUGGAUAUGUACCACGAUCGCAUGGUCUGUGGUUGGAAAGAUUUUUCGGUUGGGGAUGGGCUCGCGGCCUAUCAGCUUGUUGGUGAGGUAAUGGCUCACCAAGGCGUCGACGGGUAGCCGGCCUGAGAGGGUGACCGGCCACACUGGGACUGAGACACGGCCCAGACUCCUACGGGAGGCAGCAGUGGGGAAUAUUGCACAAUGGGCGCAAGCCUGAUGCAGCAACGCCGCGUGAGGGAUGACGGCCUUCGGGUUGUAAACCUCUUUUAGCAGGGAAGAAGCGAAAGUGACGGUACCUGCAGAAAAAGCGCCGGCUAACUACGUGCCAGCAGCCGCGGUAAUACGUAGGGCGCAAGCGUUAUCCGGAAUUAUUGGGCGUAAAGAGCUCGUAGGCGGUUUGUCGCGUCUGCUGUGAAAUCCGGAGGCUCAACCUCCGGCCUGCAGUGGGUACGGGCAGACUAGAGUGCGGUAGGGGAGAUUGGAAUUCCUGGUGUAGCGGUGGAAUGCGCAGAUAUCAGGAGGAACACCGAUGGCGAAGGCAGAUCUCUGGGCCGUAACUGACGCUGAGGAGCGAAAGGGUGGGGAGCAAACAGGCUUAGAUACCCUGGUAGUCCACCCCGUAAACGUUGGGAACUAGUUGUGGGGUCCAUUCCACGGAUUCCGUGACGCAGCUAACGCAUUAAGUUCCCCGCCUGGGGAGUACGGCCGCAAGGCUAAA
rnacentral:rRNA from 1 species